rnacentral:rRNA from 1 species
GAUGAACGCUGGCGGCGUGCCUAAUACAUGCAAGUCGAGCGAACAGAUGAGGAGCUUGCUCCUCUGACGUUAGCGGCGGACGGGUGAGUAACACGUGGAUAACCUACCUAUAAGACUGGUAUAACUUCGGGACACCGGAGCUAAUCCCGGAUAAUAUAUUGAACCGCAUGGUUCAAUAGUGAAAGACGGCUUUGCUGUCACUUAUAGAUGGAUCCGGGCCGCAGUAGCUAGUUGGUAAGGUAACGGCUUACCAAGGCAACGAUGCGUAGACGACCUGAGAGGGUGAUAGGCCACACUGGAGCUGAGACACGGACCAGACUCCUACGGGAGGCAGCAGUAGGGAAUCUUACGCAAUGGGCGAGAGCCUGACGGAGCAACGCCGCGUGAGUGAUGAAGGUGUUCGGAUCGUAAAACUCUGUUAUUAGGGAAGAACAAAUGUGUAAGUAACUAUGCACGUCUUGACGGUACCUAAUCAGAAAGCCACGGCUAACUACGUG